GGGGCGGGGUUAGGGGCCGGGGGCCCCACACCAGACCCCCUGAGUGAGGGGUGACCAGGGGUGGGGUUAGGGUCCAGGGGCCCCACACCAGACCCCCAGAGUGAGGGUGGGGGUCUGGGGCCGGUAAAAGGUAGUUGCUGACACAUUGAAUACAUAGAAUACUCCUGAUAAUACGCCUCCAAUAUGUUGAUCAAUGAUGAGUAUGUAGUUGAACCAGGCGUCAAACUAGCUGCUUGUUAAUGCAGGCCGAGAAUGCACUGUCCCCCUUGGGAUAAAAACGUCUGCUAAAUAGUCAAAUAUCAAUCGUAAGCGGAAAGGACCUUUGGUGGGUUGAGGGUCACAGAGUGGAUUGAGUUCUAGUGUCAUAGAGUCCAUAUCUUCAGGCCAUCAGGGAAAUCAAUAAAUGCCACCAUAUGUUAAUCAAUUAUUUCUUCAGUGCCUUUGCUUCAUGUGGGUGACGUGUAGCCCAGUAUAACCAUACCAGUAGCCCAGUAUAACCAUACCAGUAGCCCAGCAUAACCAUACCAGUAGCCCAGUAUAACCAUACCAGUAGCCCAGCAUAACCAUACCAGUACUCAAGUAUAACCAUACCAGUAGCCCAGUAUAACCAUAC